CGAGUGGCGGACGGGUGAGUAAUNUCUGGGGAUCUGCCCGAUGGAGGGGGAUAACUACUGGAAACGGUAGCUAAUACCGCAUAAUGUCGCAAGACCCAAAGUGGGGGACCUUCGGGCCUCACGCCAUCGGAUGAACCCCAGAUGGGAUUAGCUGGUAGGUGAGGUAAUGGCUCACCUAGGCGACGAUCCCUAGCUGGUCUGAGAGGAUGACCAGCCACACUGGAACUGAGACACGGUCCAGACUCCUACGGGAGGCAGCAGUGGGGAAUAUUGCACAAUGGGCGCAAGCCUGAUGCAGCCAUGCCGCGUGUAUGAAGAAGGCCUUCGGGUUGUAAAGUACUUUCAGCGGGGAGGAAGGGGAUUAAGUUAACAGCUUAGUU
rnacentral:rRNA from 1 species